rnacentral:rRNA from 1 species
AUGAAGCCGGAAUUGCUAGUAAUGGCAGGUCAGCAUACUGCCGUGAAUACGUUCCCGGGCCCUUGUACACACCGCCCGUCACACCAUGAGAGUUGGGAAUACCCGAAGCCUGUGAGCUAACGAAAGAGGCAGCAGUCGAAGGUAGAAUCAAUGAUUGGGGUGAAGUCGUAACAAGGUAUC